CCAAUAGCGUAUAUUAAAGUUGUUGCAGUUAAAAAGCUCGUAGUUGAAUUUCGGGAUCAAUUUGCUGGUCGUGCCUUCGGUACGCACUGGUAUUAUUGGUUUCUCCUUUCUGAUAAAUCGCGAUGUCAUUAAUUUGGUGUCGUGGGGAAUCAGGACCGUUACUUUGAAAAAAUUAGAGUGUUUAAAGCAGGCUCACGCUUGAAUACAUUAGCAUGGAAUAAUGAAAUAGGACGUUUGAUUCUAUUUUGUUGGUUUCUAGGAUCGACGUAAUGAUUAAUAGGGAUAGUUGGGGGCAUUAGUAUUCAAUUGUCAGAGGUGAAAUUCUUGGAUUUAUUGAAGACUAACUACUGCGAAAGCAUUUGCCAAGGAUGUUUUCAUUAAUCAAGAACGAAAGUUAGGGGAUCGAAGACGAUCAGAUACCGUCGUAGUCUUAACCAUAAACUAUGCCGACUAGGGAUCGGAUGAUGUUAAUUUUUUAAUGACUCAUUCGGCGCCUUACG
rnacentral:rRNA from 1 species